rnacentral:rRNA from 1 species
GGAUUAGAUACCCUGGUAGUCCACGCAGUAAACGAUGUACAUUAGGUGUAGCGGGUAUUAAAAUCUGCUGUGCCGCAGCUAACGCAUUAAGUGUACCGCCUGGGGAGUACGGUCGCAAGACUAAAACUCAAAGGAAUUGACGGGGGCCCGCACAAGCGGUGGAGCAUGUGGUUUAAUUCGACGCAACGCGAAGAACCUUACCUGGGUUUGACAUCCUGUGAAUCUUUUUUAAACGAGAGAGUGCCUUCGGGAGCACAGAGACAGGUGCUGCAUGGCUGUCGUCAGCUCGUGUUG